rnacentral:antisense_RNA from 1 species
UGUUAUGGCGGCUGUGCGCGGGACACCUACGGGUGUGCCGGGAACCUUGAGGCCCGGUCGGCCAACCCGCGUACAGCUGCCACCUGC